CUAGAUACCUGACUAUGGCUUUGGCACUUUGGAGCUGAUUUUCAAGAGGAAUGUGGAAGGACUUGAAACCUUGGCCUGAGAGAUGCCUUGCAGUGCUAAAUGGCCAUGGGUAGUGUGAAGCAGGAUUGCCUGCAUGGAGACCUGAUGGAGCCAUGAGGAUGCACCAUGGAUUGUGGUGGAGACCCAGUCGAGACACCAGGACCAUGAGAUGGCUGCUGAGGAUAGCUGUGGGCCCCAGAUGAAGUUUUCCAGGACUGCUUGCUUUUCAUUCUUUUGCACAACAAUUCUGAUUCUCCAGCCUCCCCAUGAAGAAGAGAAAAAUUCCCUUGAAGCUGAACUAAAUUCAUCAGCAAACAAAAUUACAUUCAUUUGAUAAAAUGCUAAAUGGAAAAAGGCAGGUUUAUUUUAAGCCGUCAACAGGCUGCUUUAGUUAACAUGCACAGUGCAGA